AUUGAACGCUGGCGGCAUGCCUUUCACAUGCAAGUCGAACGGCAGCACGGGUGCUUGCACCUGGUGGCGAGUGGCGAACGGGUGAGUAAUACAUCGGAACAUGUCCUGUAGUGGGGGAUAGCCCGGCGAAAGCCGGAUUAAUACCGCAUACGAUCUACGGAUGAAAGCGGGGGACCUUCGGGCCUCGCGCUAUAGGGUUGGCCGAUGGCUGAUUAGCUAGUUGGUGGGGUAAAGGCCUACCAAGGCGACGAUCAGUAGCUGGUCUGAGAGGACGACCAGCCACACUGGGACUGAGACACGGCCCAGACUCCUACGGGAGGCAGCAGUGGGGAAUUUUGGACAAUGGGCGAAAGCCUGAUCCAGCAAUGCCGCGUGUGUGAAGAAGGCCUUCGGGUUGUAAAGCACUUUUGUCCGGAAAGAAAUCCUUGGCCCUAAUACGGUCGGGGGAUGACGGUACCGGAAGAAUAAGCACCGGCUAACUACGUG
rnacentral:rRNA from 1 species